rnacentral:rRNA from 1 species
AUUGAACGCUGGCGGCAGGCUUAACACAUGCAAGUCGAGCGGAGCGAGGGUGCUUGCACCUUAGCUUAGCGGCGGACGGGUGAGUAAUGCUUAGGAAUCUGCCUAUUAGUGGGGGACAACAUUCCGAAAGGGAUGCUAAUACCGCAUACGACCUACGGGGGAAAGCAGGGGGUCUUCGGACCUUGCGCUAUUAGAUGAGCCUAAGUCGGAUUAGCUAGUUGGUGGGGUAAAGGCCUACCAAGGCGACGAGCUGUAGCGGGUCUGAGAGGAUGAUCCGCCACACUGGGACUGAGACACGGCCCAGACUCCUACGGGAGGCAGCAGUGGGGAAUAUUGGACAAUGGGCGGAAGCCUGAUCCAGCCAUGCCGCGUGUGUGAAGAAGGCCUUUUGGUUGUAAAGCACUUUAAGCGAGGAGGAGGCUACUAGUAUUAAUACUACUGGAUAGUGGACGUUACUCGCAGAAUAAGCACCGGCUAACUCUGUGCCAGCCGCCGCAGUAAAAC